UACGUAGGGUGCAAGCGUUGUCCGGAAUUAUUGGGCGUAAAGAGCUCGUAGGCGGUCUGUCGCGUCGAUCGUGAAAACUCGGGGCUUAACCCCGAGCCUGCAGUGGAUACGGGCAGACUAGAGGUAGGUAGGGGAGAACGGAAUUCCCGGUGUAGCGGUGAAAUGCGCAGAUAUCGGGAGGAACACCGGUGGCGAAGGCGGUUCUCUGGGCCUUACCUGACGCUGAGGAGCGAAAGCGUGGGGAGCGAACAGG
rnacentral:rRNA from 1 species